GCUGGCGGGGCCGCCGCUCAGAGCCGAGGGGCGGGGCUACGGCCGCCGCCGCCGCCGCUGCCGCGACCUUUGUGUCGGGGAAGGAAGGAAGGAAGAGCGGGCAGGAGGGCGCAGGGUGGCUGUGCUCUCCUGCCAACCUGCCUGAAACCCAGGACCCUUCCAGGUCGGUAGAAAAGGAUGGAGCUCUGGGGGAAGCUUGUUUCCUGCUGUUCCAGAGGGCAGGACCUGGACCAGUGAAUUCAGAUUGCAAGAAAGGAGAUUCUGUCUAAACAUCAAGAAGAACUUUUUGAGGGAACCCAGGAGAGUCUCAGCCAUGCCUUCGGAGAAGACCUCGCCGCUUGCGCACCCUUCUAAGCCUGGGAAGGAGAAGACCGCCCUGCCUGGGUCCCUGAAGGCAGGCUCUGAGGGCCACACGGAGCAGUCCAAACCCACGAUGACGAGAGGCUCUGGCAGGAGGCCUCGCCCCCCUGCCAGCGAAGGGGAGAAGGACUCUGGAUUUUCAGGUACAGACCCCCCCAGUGGCUGCCCCCUUGCUGUCAGGCUGAGAGCCGGACGGUGGGGCUGCAGUUUGAGCAGUAAAGGAGGUCCCUUUCCCCACUUGCUGCCUUAGCUCUGGGAUUCGAGAGGCCUCCUUGUCUAGCUCCUUGCAGCUCGGAGGCAGAGAGACUGGCUACCCAAGCAUGGCAGCAUCUUCCUUGGCCGGCAUUUUUAUUUAUUUUAUUUAUAAUUUUUUUACACCUCUUGAGAGUGAAAGUACAGGGUUGUAAAGACUGCAGAGAGAAUAACUGGGCGUGCUCUUCCCACCUUAGAGCA